rnacentral:rRNA from 1 species
GGACUACUGGGGUAUCUAAUCCUGUUUGCUCCCCACGCUGUCGCGCCUCAGCGUCAGCAACGGCCCAGCAGAACGCCUUCGCCACUGGUGUUCUUCCCGAUCUCUACGCAUUCCACCGCUACACCGGGAAUUCCAUCUGCCUCUACCGUGCUCUAGCCCGCCAGUCUUACCGGCAGCCCCGGAGUUGAGCCCCGGGAUUUCACCGGCAACUUAGCGAGCCGCCUACGCGCCCUUUACGCCCAGUGAUUCCGGACAACGCUCGCACCCUCCGUAUUACCGCGGCUGCUGGCAC